AUUGAACGCUGGCGGCAUGCCUUACACAUGCAAGUCGAACGGCAGCACGGGAGCAAUCCUGGUGGCGAGUGGCGAACGGGUGAGUAAUAUAUCGGGACGUGCCCAGUCGUGGGGGAUAACGCAGCGAAAGCUGUGCUAAUACCGCAUACGAUCUCUGGAUGAAAGCGGGGGACUCGCAAGGGCCUCGCGCGAUUGGAGCGGCCGAUAUCAGAUUAGCUAGUUGGUGGGGUAAAGGCCUACCAAGGCGACGAUCUGUAGCUGGUCCGAGAGGACGACCAGCCACACUGGAACUGAGACACGGUCCAGACUCCUACGGGAGGCAGCAGUGGGGAAUUUUGGACAAUGGGCGAAAGCCUGAUCCAGCAAUGCCGCGUGCAGGAUGAAGGCCUUCGGGUUGUAAACUGCUUUUGUACGGAACGAAACGGUCUGCCUUAAUACGGUGGGCUAAUGACGGUACCGUAAGAAUAAGCACCGGCUAACUACGUGCCAGCAGCCGCGGUAAUACGUAGGGUGCGAGCGUUAAUCGGAAUUACUGGGCGUAAAGCGUGCGCAGGCGGCUUUGCAAGACAGAUGUGAAAUCCCCGGGCUCAACCUGGGAACUGCAUUUGUGACUGCAUGGCUAGAGUACGGUAGAGGGGGAUGGAAUUCCGCGUGUAGCAGUGAAAUGCGUAGAUAUGCGGAGGAACACCGAUGGCGAAGGCAAUCCCCUGGACCUGUACUGACGCUCAUGCACGAAAGCGUGGGGAGCAAACAGGAUUAGAUACCCUGGUAGUCCACGCCCUAAACGAUGUCAACUGGUUGUUGGACGGCUUGCUGUUCAGUAACGAAGCUAACGCGUGAAGUUGACCGCCUGGGGAGUACGGCCGCAAGGUUGAAACUCAAAGGAAUUGGCGGGGACCCGCACAAGCGGUGGAUGAUGUGGUUUAAUUCGAUGCAACGCGAAAAACCUUACCUACCCUUGACAUGUCUAGAAGUUACCAGAGAUGGUUUCGUGCUCGAAAGAGAACUAGAACACAGGUGCUGCAUGGCCGUCGUCAGCUCGUGUCGUGAGAUGUUGGGUUAAGUCCCGCAACGAGCGCAACCCUUAUCAUUAGUUGCUACGCAAGGGCACUCUAAUGAGACUGCCGGUGACAAACCGGAGGAAGGUGGGGAUGACGUCAGGUCAUCAUGGCCCUUAUGGGUAGGGCUACACACGUCAUACAAUGGCCGGUACAGAGGGCUGCCAACCCGCGAGGGGGAGCUAAUCUCAGAAAACCGGUCGUAGUCCGGAUCGCAGUCUGCAACUCGACUGCGUGAAGUCGGAAUCGCUAGUAAUCGCGGAUCAGCUUGCCGCGGUGAAUACGUUCCCGGGUCUUGUACACACCGCCCGUCACACCAUGGGAGCGGGUUCUGCCAGAAGUAGUUAGCCUAACCGCAAGGAGGGCGAUUACCACGGCAGGGUUCGUGACUGGGGUG
rnacentral:rRNA from 1 species